rnacentral:rRNA from 1 species
AAAUAUCUAAUAGUUAUGUUCUUUAAAUUUAGAGAAUUUGGCGGUGGUGCUAGUCUAGUUAGAGGAACCUGCUCCAUGAUUCACAAACCUCAAAAAAUCUUACUUGUGACUUAUAGCUUGUAUACCGUCAUUAUUAGAUAAUUUCUAUAGAAAUAAAUAUUACAAUAGGACAUUUCCUAAGAUAUUAGAUCAAGGUGCAGCCCAUGUGCAAGAGAGAGUGGGUUACAAUAAGUUUUAUUUAUGACGGAGUGGUUAUUGUAAAUAAUCAUGAAGGUGGAUUUAGUUGUAAUGUAGGUUUAAUAAGCUUAUGUGACAUUAGUUCUAAACUACGUACACA